rnacentral:rRNA from 1 species
GUCGCAAGAUUAAAACUCAAGGGAAUUGACGGGGACCCGCACAAGCGGUGGAUGAUGUGGAUUAAUUCGAUGCAACGCGAAAAACCUUACCUACCCUUGACAUGUCCGGAAUCCUGAAGAGAUUUGGGAGUGCUCGCAAGAGAGCCGGAACACAGGUGCUGCAUGGCUGUCGUCAGCUCGUGUCGUGAGAUGUUGGGUUAAGUCCCGCAACGAGCGCAACCCUUAUCCUUAGUUGCCAUCAUUCAGUUGGGCACUCUAAUGAGACUGCCGGUGACAAACCGGAGGAAGGUGGGGAUGACGUCAAGUCCUCAUGGCCCUUAUGGGUAGGGCUUCACACGUCAUACAAUGGUCGGUACAGAGGGUUGCCAACCCGCGAGGGGGAGCUAAUCUCACAAAGCCGAUCGUAGUCCGGAUCGCAGUCUGCAACUCGACUGCGUGAAGUCGGAAUCGCUAGUAAUCGUGGAUCAGCAUGUCACGGUGAAUACGUUCCCGGGUCUUGUACACACCGCCCGUCACACCAUGGGAGUGGGUUUCACCAGAAGUAGGUAGUCUAACCGCAAGG